CCUACGGGUGGCAGCAGUGAGGAAUAUUGGUCAAUGGGCGGAAGCCUGAACCAGCCAAGUAGCGUGCAGGAUGACGGCCCUACGGGUUGUCAACUGCUUUUAUACGGGAAUAACGCGCCCGACGUGUAGGGCUUUGUAUGUACCUUAUGAAUAAGCAUCGGCUAAUUCCGUGCCAGCAGCCGCGGUAAUACGGAGGGUGCGAGCGUUAUCCGGAUUUAUUGGGUUUAAAGGGUGCGUAGGCGGCUUGCUAAGUCAGCGGGAAAAGUCCGGGGCCAAACCGGGCCGUGCCGUUGAAACUGGCGUGCUGGAGUACGCGGAAAGCACGCGGAAUUUGUGGUGUAGCGGUGAAAUGCUUAGAUAUCACGAAGAACCCCGAUUGCGAAGGCAGCGUACCGGAGCAAAACUGACGCUGAGGCUCGAAAGCGUGGGUAUCGAACAGGAUUAGAUACCCGGGUAGUC
rnacentral:rRNA from 1 species